AUGGAGGUGACCUCCACAACAUCUACCGCCACCUCUGCAGAGUCCUCCACUCCCUUCUUCACCACUGGAGCCACCUCAACUGCUUCUCCCUCCACCGAGGUGACCCCCACAGCAGCCCCAACCACCUCAGGAGUCUCCUCCACAUCCUUCUCCACCACUGGAGCCACCUCCAUCACUGUCACCUCCACCUCCACAGAAGCCCCCACCACUUCAGCAGAGUCCUCCACUUCCAUCUCCACCACUGAGGCCACCUCCACUGGUAUGACCUCCACAGAACCCACCACCGCCUCAGGACCCUCCUCCACUGCCCUCCCCACUACUGAGGCCACCCCCACUGGUGUCACCUCAGCAGAGAUGACCUCCACAACAGCUCCAACUACCUCAGGACUCUCCACCACCUUCACCACUGAAGCCACCUCCAUUACUGUCACCUCCACAGAAGCCCCCACCACCUCAGGACAUUCAUCCACUUCCUUCUCCACCACUGAAGACACCUCCAUUGGUAUGACCUCCACGGCAGCUCCCACCACCUCAGGAGUCUUCUCCACGUCCUUCCCCACCACUGGAGCCACCUCAACUACUGUCAUCUCCACUGGUAUGACCUCCACGGCAGCUCCCACCACCUCAGGACUCUCCUCCACUGCUCUCCCCCCCACUGAGGCCACCUCCACUGGUCUCACCUCAACAGAGAUGACCUCCAUGACAGCCCCCACCACCUCAGGAGUCUCCUCCACAUCCUUCUUGACCACUGGAGCCACCUCAACUACUGUCAUCUCCACUGGUAUGACCUCCUCACAACCCACCACCACCUCAGCAGAGUCCUCCACUUCCAUCUCCACCACUGAAGCCACCUCCAUCACUGUCUCCUCCACAGCGGUAACCACCACACAAUCCCCAACCACCUCAGGACAUUCCUCCACGUCCUUCCUGACCACUGGAGCCACCUCAACUCCUGUCAUCUCCACCGAGGGGACCUCCACUGACCCCACCACCAUCUCAGCAGAGCCCUCCACUUCCUUCUCCACCACUGAAGCCACCUCCAUCACUGUCUCCUCCACAGCGGUAACCACCACACAAUCCCCAACCACCUCAGGACAUUCCUCCACGUCCUUCCUGACCACUGGAGCCACCUCAACUCCUGUCAUCUCCACCGAGGGGACCUCCACUGAACCCACCACCAUCUCAGCAGAGCCCUCCACUUCCUUCUCCACCACUGAAGCCACCUCUAUCACUGUCACCUCCACAGAGGUAACCACCACAGAAUCCCCAACCACCUCAGGACAUUCCUCCACCACCUUCUUGACCACUGGAGCCACCUCCACUGGUAUGACCUCCACAGAACCCACCACCACCUCAAGACUCUCCUCCACUGCUCUCCCCACCACUGAGGCCACCUCCACUGGUCUCACCUCAGCAGAGAUGACCUCCACGGCAGCCCCAACUACUUCAGGACUCUCCUCCACUUCCUUCUCCACCACUGAGGCCACCUCCAUCACUGUCACUUCCACAGAGGUGACCACCACAGCAGCCCCCACCACCUCAGGACAUUCCUCCACGUCCUUCCUGACCACUGGAGCCACCUCAACUCCUGUCAUCUCCACCGAGGGGACCUCCACAGAACCCACCACCACCUCAGCAGAGUCCUCCACAUCCUUCUCCACCACGGGAGCCACCUCCACUGGUCUCACCUCAACAGAGAUGACCACCACAGCAGCCCAAACUACCUCAGAACUCUCCUCCACCACCUUCACCACUGAAGCCACCUCCAUCACUGUCACCUCCACCACCUCCACUGGUAUGACCUCCACAGAACCCACCACCACCUCAGCAGCGUCCUCUACAUCCUUCUCCACCACGGGAGCCACCUCCUCUGGUCUCACCUCAACAGAGAUGACCACCACAGCAGCCCACACUACCUCAGGACUUUCCUCCACCACCUUCACCACGCCACCUCAACUCCUGUCAUCUCCACAGAGGGGACCUCCACAGAACCCACCACCUCAGCAGAGUCCUCCACUUCCUCCACCACCUUCCCCACUGAAGCCACCUCCAUCACUGUCACCUCCACCACCUCCACUGGUAUGACCUCCACGGCAGCCCCCACCACCUCAGGAGUCUCUUCCACUUCCUUCCCUACCACUGGAGCCACCUCAACUCCUGUCAUCUCCACAGAGGGGACCUCCACAGAACCCACCACCUCAGCAGAGUCCUCCACUUCCUUCUCCACCACUGGAGCCACCUCAACUCCUGUCACCUCCACAGAGGGGACCUCCACAGAAGCCACCACCACCUCGGCACAGUCCUCCACUUCCUUCUCCACCACUGGAGCCACCUCCACUGCUUCUCUCUCCACCAAGGUGACCCCCACGGCAGCCCCCACCACCUCAGGACAUUCCUCCACAUCCUUCUGGACCACUGGAGUCACCUCCACUGAUGUCACCUCAAUGGAGGUGACCUCCAUGACAGUCUCAACCACCUCAGGACUUUCCACCACUGCCCACCCCACCACUGGAGCCACCUCAACUCCUGUCACCUCCACAGAGGGGACCUCCACAGAAGCCACCACCACCUCGGCACAGUCCUCCACUUCCUUCUCCACCACUGGAGCCACCUCCACUGCUUCUCUCUCCACCGAGGUGACCUCCACGGCAGCCCCCACCACCUCAGGACAUUCCUCCACAUCCUUCUGGACCACUGGAGUCACCUCCACUGAUGUCACCUCAAUGGAGGUGACCUCCACGACUGUCUCAACCACCUCAGGGCUCUCCUCCACUUCCCUCCCCACCACUGGAGCCACCUCAAUUCCUGUCAUCUCUACGGAAGUGACCGCCACAGAAGCCACCACCACCUCAGCAGAGUCCUCCACUUCCAUCUCCACCACUGGAGCCACCUCCACUGGUCUCACCUCAACAGAGAUGACCACCACAGCAGCCCAAACUACCUCAGGACUUUCCUCCACCACCUUCACCACUGAAGCCACCUCCAUCACUGUCACCUCCACCUCCACAGAAGCCCCCACCACUUCAGCAGAGUCCUACACUUCCAUCUCCACCACUGGAGCCAACCUCCACUGGUCUCACCUCAA
rnacentral:lncRNA from 1 species